rnacentral:rRNA from 1 species
ACUUCGCCCUUAACUUUGCACAAACCACACACAUUUUGCCCGCCAGAGAAUUACGAGCGAAAGCUUAAAACUCAAAGGACUUGACGGUGCCCCACCCCACUAGAGGAGCCUGUCCUAUAAUCGAUAAUCCACGUUUCACCUCACCUUUUCUUGCUCAACCCGCCUAUAUACCGCCGUCGCAAGCUCACCUAGUGAUAGAAGCCCAGUGAGCAAUCCAGCCCCCUCGCCCACACGUCAGGUCAAGGUGUAGCUAAUGAAAAGGCAAGUGAUGGGCUACAUUUUCUAUUACAGAAAAUCCACCGACACAUCAUGAAAUUUGAUGCCUGCAGGCGGAUUUAGCAGUAAAUAGCCCAAGACAUGUGCUAUUGAACCAAGCUCUGGGACGCGCACAC